rnacentral:rRNA from 1 species
CACGUAGGGGCCAAGCGUUGUCCGGAUUUAUUGGGCGUAAAGAGCUCGUAGGCGGUUGGGUAAGUCGGGUGUGAAAACUCCAGGCUCAACUUGGGAACUGCAUCCGAGACUGCAUUGCUAGAGUAUGGGAGAGGGAAGCGGAAUUUCUGGUGUAGCAGUGAAAUGCGUAGAUAUCAGAAGGAACAUCAGUGGCGAAGGCGGCUUCCUGGACCAAUACUGACGAUCAGGUGCGAAAGCGUGGGGAGCAAACAGG